UAGCAGAGGGAGGGUCAGUGUGGAGGUCAGUAUGGAGGUCAGUGUAGAGGGUCAGUGUGGAGGUCAGUGUGGAGGACGGUCAGUGUGGAGAUCAGUGUGGAGGGUCAGUGUGGAGGUCAGUGUAGAGGGUCAGUGUGGAGGUCAGUGUAGAGGGUCAGUGUGGAGGGUCAGUGUGGAGGACGGUCAGUGUGGAGGAGGGUCAGUGUGGAGGGUCAGUGUGCAGGGUCAGUG